rnacentral:rRNA from 1 species
UACGUAGGGGGCAAGCGUUGUCCGGAAUCAUUGGGCGUAAAGCGCGUGUAGGCGGCCAUUUAAGUCUGCUGUGAAAGUCCAGGGCUCAACCCUGGGAUGUCAGUGGAUACUGGAUGGCUCGAGUCCGGAAGAGGAGUGUGGAAUUCCUGGUGUAGCGGUGAAAUGCGCAGAUAUCAGGAGGAACACCGAUGGCGAAGGCAGCACUCUGGGACGUGACUGACGCUGAGACG